rnacentral:rRNA from 1 species
GAUGAACGCUGGCGGCGUGCCUAAUACAUGCAAGUCGAGCGAACAGACGAGGAGCUUGCUCCUCUGACGUUAGCGGCGGACGGGUGAGUAACACGUGGAUAACCUACCUAUAAGACUGGGAUAACUUCGGGAAACCGGAGCUAAUACCGGAUAAUAUAUUGAACCGCAUGGUUCAAUAGUGAAAGACGGUUUUGCUGUCACUUAUAGAUGGAUCCGCGCCGCAUUAGCUAGUUGGUAAGGUAACGGCUUACCAAGGCAACGAUGCGUAGCCGACCUGAGAGGGUGGUCGGCCACACUGGAACUGAGACACGGUCCAGACUCCUACGGGAGGCAGCAGUAGGGAAUCUUCCGCAAUGGGCGAAAGCGUGACGGAGCAACGCCGCGUGAGUGAUGAAGGUCUUCGGAUCGUAAAACUCUGUUAUCAGGGAAGAACAAAUGUGUAAGUAACUAUGCACGUCUUGACGGUACCUAAUCAGAAAGCCACGGCUAACUACGUG